CAAACCCGGAUCAAGACAUCGUGAAGCUCAACGGAAGAACGGACUGAUCGAAGGUCACGCCUACAGCAUUGUCGACAUCAGAGAGAUUAAUCAAGGAGGAAAAUCUACAACGCUGUUACGCCUAAGAAACCCGUGGGGUAGAGGUGAAUGGAACGGACCGUGGAGUGAUGGGUCGCCAGAAUGGAGACACCUCCGUCGCUUUGAUAUCACGGCAACAGACAUAAACGAUG